UCAUCCUGACAAUCUAUGUGAUGGGAUCUUUUGCUAUUCCUGGGAGGUGGCAUAGAAGAUGGUCUCAUUCAAGCAGCGGUAGCGGAUCUAGCAGCCACAGUGGAUGAUAUGAAGAGAUAUGGGAUCGGAAAACGAAAAAAGAAAUAAAUACUGAUUUUUUUCCGAAAAGUUGUGAUGCACGAAUUUUGAUAUUUUCCUUUGUUCGAUUGAUUUACUAAUUCCAGAAAAUAAAGAAUGAUCCUUUA